rnacentral:lncRNA from 1 species
GGAUCAUCGUCUCGGUCCUAGAGGAAUCCUGCUGGCUUGAGGGGUGGUCUGGUUUUCAUGAAAUGGUUGUCUUUGUUAGCAGCAGUCUCAGUCAUGUGAGACUGUGCUUUUCCAGGGGCCCAGGUGACCGAAGGAGUAGACAGUGGCUGGAGUGUUCGAGGCAAUGCUCUGGAAAGGGGUCAGAGCCAGACACUGAAAGCUGGCCAUGGCUGCCCCUGCACAUCCUGAGAAUUACUUCGGUCACCCUUGUCUUGGGGCCCUCCGUCUUGAAGGGGGAUGAGAUACACUCCCUAAGUUUAGGGCUGGUGAACCUGGUCUCUACAACUUUUCCUGAAUGAUUAACAUGCCUGUACCCAAGUUUUGACGCGAUAAUUAAGGACACCAAAUGAAGGUAGACUUUGUUCUACUUGUAGUUACCUAUUAUAAUCUGCUAGGCCCAAGAGAAAAGUUAGGGUAAAACCAAGUUAAGUCUCUGACUCUUUCAAAGAAAAUGCAAUUGUGCUUUUAAUGAGUAACAGGUUAAGGGCCCAGGAGUUUACUUGUCCUCCAUUCCUAUGUGGUGUCUGACUACGUCAUGACUAUGUCAAGGCCUGUGAUUGUGACUGCCAGCCAUCUGCUAGCCUGCAGCUUCCUCUUUCCCUCUGUUCAUCCUGACUGCAGCACCCCAGCACCAGAAGGGGACACAUUAUGGCCAUUGUGACCAGCUGAUGUCUCUGGGGCCUGAGUUAUCCAGCCAGCUGUGUGUACUCAGCCACAGCAUGUGGCCAGGCGGUUGCUCAGUGGUGGUCAGCUGCGCUCCACUUCCCUCCCUCGCACACCUGCUCAGGUGUGAAGCUCUUCUUCCUGCCACAGGGGCCACAAUCACACUCAGCUGCCUUCUGCUUCUCAGAGCCCAGAGUCGCUUUUGGCCGCAAUGCAGCCACACCCAUGGGGUCAAAGUCCUACCCGAGAGCCCCUCGGCCUUCGUCCCCAGCAGGACCCCAUCCAUGACCACCAACACCCUGGGCCACUGGCCCCCAGCCUGUGUGUCCACACUGGGAAGAGGCUCCAGCUGGGUCAGGGGUUUGGGGGCUGCUGCAGGACAUAUCACCCCCAUCCCCGGCAAGGGGCUCAGCCUUGAGGCCCUCAGGUUUGUCUCCAGCCCCCCAUCAAGUCCAGGGACGGGCUUCAGAGAGC